AGUGGAAUAGUACUAGAGAUGAAAAUAGCUCUAUAUGAUUAGAUGAAGUUGCAUAAUAUGUUGACUACACGCAUUUAUUAAUUAUUGAUUGUUAAGAUUAGAGCACGAAAGAUUGACCCCGAACCACCCACCAGGGUGUUUGAAAGUUAUUGCAGGAGCAGAGUGAAGCUGAUUCAAGAUGUGGCAAGUAUAGACAUAAAAUUUGAAAUAAAGUAUUUAAAGCUAUUUAUUGAGACUUGAUUUCGAAUGUUGAGUGUCCACGUGUUAGGGUCAUUUCCUCUGCUAGUUAAAAAGUUUAUCCUCUUGUUUUAAAGAUUUUUAUUUUAUUAUUUUCUUUUCUCUUUGUUUUAAAGUUUUCUAGCCGAGGCAUUUUAGUCAGUUAUUAAAUCGUAAGAAUUUAGCGUGUUUCAUAAACAAUGGUUAAUUUUCUGUAUUUCUCUUCUUUCUUUUCUGUAGUAACGUAAUCAAUUCAUAUAUCCUGACUCGUCCUCAGCCCCUCUCUUCUAAACAUUACCUGAUCCUCUAUGCUCUUCAUUCGUUUGUCUCUUGUUUCUUAUUUCUAUUAUA
rnacentral:lncRNA from 1 species